rnacentral:rRNA from 1 species
CACGUAGGGCGCAAGCGUUGUCCGGAAUCACUGGGCUUAAAGGGUGCGUAGGCGGGCUGCCAAGUUUGAGGUGAAAUCCUCCGGCUCAACCGGGGAAGUGCCUUGAAUACUGGCGGUCUGGAGGGAGGUAGGGGCGUGCGGAACUAACGGUGGAGCGGUGAAAUGCGUUGAUAUCGUUAGGAACUCCGGUGGCGAAGGCGGCACGCUAGACCUCUUCUGACGCUGAGGCACGAAAGCCAGGGGAGCGAACGGG